rnacentral:lncRNA from 1 species
CAGACAGACGCGGUCACACACGAGGGUGGGUUUCAGCUCCCACUUGUUUUUUUGGUCAGGUUCCCCAAGAAACAGACUCGGGAUUUGCAUGCAGGAGUCUUAUUGGGGAACGCUUUCAGGAACUACCACCCCGUAUGGGAGCGAGAGAAGCAGGACUGUGCAGAAGGAGAAGUUGAACAACUCCUGGAAAGCUCUGAAGCUGGGAUCAUCCUUCCAGAAUGUCUUGGAUUGAGACAAGGGUACUUUAAUCAGCAUUUAAUGACCCAGUCGAAAAUUCAUUGUUUGGACCCAAGCACUGGUGGGAAAGGCAGGAGGGGAGGCCUGCCUUCCUUCCUCCCUCCCGAGCCCUACAGCAGGCCAUGGAGUGGUGAGCGAGUUCGUACAGUGCCAACCACAUUCCCAGAAACUUCCAGCAGAGGUUAAUCCUGCUCCUCUCAGGUGGGCUUGGCCCAUUCUCUAGACUUUGGAAGGUAAUGUUCUAUAGAGGCCUGUUCUGAAGCUUUACCAGGUCAAACCGGAGAAGAACCCAACAAGUAACUCAUCCCAGCCUAACUAUUCUUCAAGGGCAAUCAACCUACAGCAUCCAAGCACAGAGAAAUCAAAUCCAUGGAGAAUCUUCAAAUUAGGCUCAGAAUCCAUUUGGGUCAAUGAAUUUACUGUUAUUAAGAUCUUAGUUGUGUUCAACCAUGAUUUGACAUACCUUAGAGUGAGAAGAUAUUCUUCCUGGCCUCAGACUAGUUGAAGGUAGAGAGAGAGACAGGCCCUUGGGUGUGGGGAGACCUCUCCUGGGAUAAUACACACAAAAAACCAAGAGCUGCUCACUGUGGUGCAGGAGACAGCAGGGCCUGAAGCCAGAGGCUCUGUGUCCUUGAAUACAAUGUUUUACUCCUCUGACCCCUGUUACUGUGAUUUGGAGAGGCAGACAAUAUAGGAUGGGCUUUGCAGGCAGGGAGGUCCAGUUAUAAUCCCAGCUCUUACUAAGUUGGGUAAGACUCACUCUGAGACUUAGUUUCUUCUGUCAUCUCUCAAUAGAAUCAUAAAGGUACUUUCCUCUUAGUGUUGUUUUAAAAUUCAGUAAAAUAAUGCAGGCUUAGCACAGGGUCUGAUGUAAAUUUUCAAUGAAUUAUCGUUGUCAAUAUUGUUCUGGAAAACAAGAGGGCAUAUUAGAAGAUCAAAAGUACUGCCAAGCAUUGAAGUGCCAAUUCUAGAUCCAGUCUCAGCCCUCUGAGAAUGGAUAUCAUUGUUUUCAAGCCAUUCAGAAACCAAUGUGAAUUGAACACCUAGUAUGAGCUCUCUGAGGGAAGAGCCAAGUCAUGCAUUUUUUAUCUUAAGGGGUCUUCAAUACCUCUAGCCCAAAACAGUAUCUCCAUCAGGAUUCUUCUCUGAUAGUGUUCAUUUCUUUUUUCUCAAUGGAUGCCUUAAAAAAAAAAUCCUACAAGGAAACCUGUACUCCUCAAAUACACCACUCAGGUGACCAUUAAAUCAUUUACAUUGUUAA